CUACGGGUCGCACCAGUGAGGAAUAUUGCACAAUGGGGGAAACCCUGAUGCAGCAACGCCGCGUGGAGGAUGACGCAUUUCGGUGUGUAAACUCCUUUUAUCAGAGAAGAAAAUGACGGUAUCUGAUGAAUAAGCUCCGGCUAACUCCGUGCCAGCAGCCGCGGUAAUACGGAGGGAGCAAGCGUUAUUCGGAAUCACUGGGCGUAAAGGACGCGUAGGCGGGUUUUUAAGUCAGGUGUGAAAUCCUAUGGCUCAACCAUAGAACUGCACUUGAAACUGGGGACCUAGAGUAUGGAAGGGGCAGGUGGAAUUAGUGGUGUAGGGGUAAUAUCUGUAGAUAUCACUAGGAAUACCGAAAGCGAAGGCGACCUGCUGGGACAUUACUGACGCUGAGGCGUGAAAGCGUGGGGAGCAAACAGGAUUAGAUACCCUAGUAGUC
rnacentral:rRNA from 1 species